CCUCCCGGUAUUGUGCACGCAUCACACCGAUCAUGCUUUCUCACGGAGAAACAUGAUGAGCCUUCGUACGUGGCGGCACGCGCCGUGGACAUCUGAUUGAAGUUCACCGCGAGAUGCUGCGGGCUGAUACUCGCCCGCGAAAUCAUCGCACGGACGAUUCCCACGAUCGGCGAUCGACAAACUGAUUAAUGCAUUUGAUCAACGUCGCAAGAGCAUAAAGAAUUCUCUCCACAUGAACAAACGUUCAUGACAAAAUGCUCGCGUUAAUGACAGGAUAAUGUUACGCUAUUUGCAGUAUAGCGUUGCAAAGUAAAGAGAUGAAAGAAACGUGCUUUGUGACGGAAAUCUGAUCAUCGUAAAUUCGUCCUCUCUGCUGAACCAUGCAACAAUGUCAUUCGAUCAUUUUGCGACAACAAAAGCUGUGGUGUCAGCGUAAUGAGAAAGCAAAAUAGCAAAAAAUGCUGAAAUGCGAUUUCAAUGCGGUUAACUUUGGUAUUCGAUCAUUUAGCAUUUUAGAAGACAAAAAGAAGUGUACAAAAUAUCGACAGAGAAGAUUUAAAAAGUGGAUUUUUUUUAUUUUUAUCGCAUUUUUCGAUGCACUCUCAAAUAUAACCAGAGUCGUGAAGGAAAAAAAUGAUUUGAUCAUUGAUUUUCGGAGUCUUAUCAGCAGACUUCGACAAAAUUUCGGCAGCGUGAGCAUUUCCGCGCCAAUGGACGCGCGUGUUCGCGCGCAUCACCGCUAGCGUCGCGUCAGUUCGAUCGCCGAGCGGCGAAUCGCGUCGUUAUAAGGAGGAUACGUACAAGGCAGUGGUGAGAGUACCGGCGAGCGUUUGGUGAAGCAGCGCGCGGCAGUUCGGCAAUUACAAUCCGGCUCGUCGGUCGCGCACGUGUGUCCGUCGUGUAAGACGCUCCUCGCCACGUGGUGAUACGCGAGCGCGCGCGCGCGCGCGUCCCGAUUCUCUUUCUCUCUCUCUCUCUCUCUCUUUCUCUCAUCCUUCCUCUUUUUAUCCAUUCUACUUCCGGCAUCGCUUAUCUACCUCAGUUUCUAUUUCGCUCCACGUGUCUUACCGCGUUGCACGCGCCUCCGCGGGAAUGCCCACGCGGCACGUCGCGGCAUUCGACGCUCGAGUACUCCGAGUAGUCGUGUGGAAACGCGCGUGACAUUCGCACGCGUGCGCGCGCGUUCCGAUUUCACGGAGGAUUUUAAAUCCGCGAGGAUGCCGGAUAAGGUAGCGCCGGUGGAAAAGUCGAUCCUGCGGUCCCAGGCCGCGGGAUCCGACAACAGCGACGAAGUCAAGUUGAAGAAGGAGCUGGGUCUAUGGAACGGCGUGGCGAUCAUCGUCGGCAUCAUCGUCGGCGCCGGUAUCUUCGUGUCGCCCAAAGGCGUGCUUAGGAACAGCGGCAGCGUCGGCCAAGCUCUCAUUGUCUGGAUCUUUUCCGGUAUUCUGUCGCUGAUCGGAGCCCUAUGUUAUGCCGAGCUGGGUACGAUGAUCCCAAAAUCCGGCGGUGAUUAUGCAUACAUCAGUGAUGCCUUCGGACCUUUGCCGGCGUUUCUGUAUCUCUGGGUGGCUUUGUUCGUCCUGGUACCAACGGGAAAUGCAAUCACAGCACUCACGUUCGCACAGUACAUCCUACAGCCGAUGUGGCCCGGAUGCGAACCACCAUAUGAGGCAGUGCGAUUACUCGCUGCCGUAAUUACAUGUCUGUUAACCGUUAUUAACUGCUACAAUGUCAAAUGGGCGACCAGAGUGCAGGAUAUCUUCACCGGCACGAAGAUCUUCGCGCUAGUAAUCAUCGUAGUGACUGGUUUCUGGUGGCUCUGCAUGGGCCAUACGGAGAACUUCCAACAUCCGAUGGCUGGAACUAACACCCAGUCCGGUUACAUCGCUUUGGCAAUCUAUUCCGGAUUAUUCUCUUACUCGGGCUGGAAUUACCUCAACUUCGUGACGGAGGAACUCAAAGAUCCUUACAAAAAUCUUCCAAAGGCGAUUUGUAUAUCAUUACCGCUUGUGACAGUGAUCUAUGUUUUCGCGAAUAUCGCCUACUUCGUCGUACUCACGCAGGAUGAAAUACUCGCGUCGAAUGCCGUCGCUGUUACCUUUGGUGAUAAACUAUUGGGCGUUAUGUCGUGGAUUAUGCCGUUCUUCGUGGCAUGUUCGACUUUCGGAGCAUUGAAUGGCGCGAUCUUCGCGUCAUCUAGGUUGUUCUUUGUCGGCGCCCGAAACGGACACCUCCCCACUGCCAUUGCCCUCAUUAACGUCCGCAAUUUGACGCCGAUGCCAUCCCUCAUCUUCCUUUGCAUUAUCACCCUGAUACUCCUCAUCAUAGAGGACGUCUACGUACUGAUAAAUUAUGUCAGCUUCGUUGAGGCUCUAUUUACUACACUCUCCGUAUCUGGUCUGUUGUGGCUACGUUACAAAAAGCCCGAUCUCCAACGUCCGAUAAAGGUUUCCAUAAUUUUGCCAAUCAUUUUCUUCAUAAUCUGUGCAUUCUUGGUCACCUUUCCGUGCUAUGUCUCGCCAUGGGAAGUAGGCAUAGGCAUAAUCAUAAUCUUGUCUGGUAUUCCUGUGUACUGUAUCUUCAUCGAUUGGAAAACGAAGCCCGACUGGCUUGUCAAUGCAUCCCAUAAAUUUAAUGUGAUAUGUGCAAAGCUAUUCAUGUGCGUUCCUGUGCAAGAAGAAAAGACCGAAUGAAUGUACGACUCAUUGUGAUCGGAAAAUUUCAAAUUGUGACACCCGAAUUUAAAAGUGCAUUUUGCACACGUGGUACUUUUUCCUAGAUCAAAACAAUGCUCACCUGUCCCUUUACAACACUGGCCGCAAAUUGCAUGAUCAUUGAU
rnacentral:misc_RNA from 1 species